GCAGCAGUCAAUUUGAUUGCCAUUAUUGUUUUUGUAUUAUUUUAUUAAAUGAAAUGCUAUUAGAUAAAUAUUUGGGCAGUGAAAGUUUAUUCCAAAAUGAUUUGGAGAUAAAAAUGUGUUAUGUUCGGCGGUAGUGCUUGUGAUUUUAUCCGGACAGGAGAAAAACCGCAGGCAGGAUACGGCUUUGCAGAUAACUAAAUAUUUAUAAAGGCUGUUUGAUAAGAUGCAUGAGAAAAUUGCAGCACAAUACAAAACGCGAUUUAUUCCGAAAAGAUAAAUAUGAGGGAAUCAAAUAUAUUAGCACAUCUACAUUAAAA